rnacentral:rRNA from 1 species
ACGGCCAUACCACGUUGAAAACACCGGUUCUCGUCCGAUCACCAAAGUUAAGCAACGUCGGGCCCGGUCAGUACUUGGGAGGGUGACCACCUGGGAACACCGGGUGCUGUAGGCU